UGCCAGCAGCCGCGGUAAUACGAAGGGACCUAGCGUAGUUCGGAAUUACUGGGCUUAAAGAGUUCGUAGGUGGUUGAAAAAGUUGGUGGUGAAAUCCCAGAGCUUAACUCUGGAACUGCCAUCAAAACUUUUCAGCUAGAGUUUGAUAGAGGAAAGCAGAAUUUCUAGUGUAGAGGUGAAAUUCGUAGAUAUUAGAAAGAAUACCAAUGGCGAAGGCGCUCUGCUGGGCCAUUACUGACACUGAGGAACGAAAGCAUGGGUAGCGAAGAGGAUUAGAUA
rnacentral:rRNA from 1 species